GGGUUGUGAGGUUAAGCGACUAAGCGUACACGGUGGAUGCCCUGGCAGUCAGAGGCGAUGAAGGACGUGCUAAUCUGCGAUAAGCGCCGGUAAGGUGAUAUGAACCGUUAUAACCGGCGAUUUCCGAAUGGGGAAACCCAGUGUGACUCGUCACACUAUCAUUAACUGAAUCCAUAGGUUAAUGAGGCGAACCGGGGGAACUGAAACAUCUAAGUACCCCGAGGAAAAGAAAUCAACCGAGAUUCCCCCAGUAGCGGCGAGCGAACGGGGAGGAGCCCAGAGCCUGAAUCAGCAUGUGUGUUAGUGGAAGCGUCUGGAAAGGCGCGCGAUACAGGGUGACAGCCCCGUACACAAAAGCGCAUAUGCUGUGAGCUCGAUGAGUAGGGCGGGACACGUGGUAUCCUGUCUGAAUAUGGGGGGACCAUCCUCCAAGGCUAAAUACUCCUGACUGACCGAUAGUGAACCAGUACCGUGAGGGAAAGGCGAAAAGAACCCCGGCGAGGGGAGUGAAAAAGAACCUGAAACCGUGUACGUACAAGCAGUGGGAGCCCCACCACUAAGCCAGUGGUGAACUCCACAUACGCAUCCUUUGCUGAGGAUACGGUUAACGGAGCGAAAGCGACGUUCAACCGCAAAAGAAGCAGAGGGGGCUUAGUGGUGGGGUGACUGCGUACCUUUUGUAUAAUGGGUCAGCGACUUAUAUUCUGUAGCAAGGUUAACCGAAUAGGGGAGCCGGAGGGAAACCGAGUCUUAAU
rnacentral:rRNA from 1 species